rnacentral:rRNA from 1 species
UAAAUUGUUCAUUAAUUGUGAUCUAGUAUGAAGGAAAAAAUAGUUUAACACUGUCUUGGAAUUUUAUUUUUUGAAUUUAAAAUUUUUGUCAAAAUGCAAAAAUUAUAUUUAGGGACAAGAAGACCCUAUAAAGCUUAUCUAAUAAGUAGUUUUUAAUAUUACAAAUUUAGUUUAAUUGGGGCAAUGAUUUAAUUAUAAUAGAUUUAAAUUUAAUAUAAAUAUUGAUGUAAUUUCUGUAGAUAUAAGAUCCAUUAUUAAUGAAGAAUGAAAAAGUUACUUUAGGGAUAACAGGAUAAUUUUUAUUAGGAAGCACUUAUUAAUAAUAAAGUUUAUUACCUCGAUGUUGAAUUAAUUUAAUCCUAUGGUGAAGUAGCUUUUUGUAUUUGACUGUUCGUCAAUUAAAUAAUUACAUGAUCUGAGUUC